AAUCCCCCGCGGAACAUAUAUCUUCCUCUCGAAGAGGGGCUGCCUUUGCGCCUACCAUGGAGCAAUGUCUGCGUGAAAUUUUUGGCCAAUCCCCUCCGCGUGUUUCGCAGCCAAUCCUAUCCUCCCCUCGGUCUCGUACCAGUCGCCGCACAAACCCUAGCCCCCAUUCCCCUCGAUCCCCAUAGUCUCUCCGCCUCCUCGUCCCGUCACCACGUCCUCCGCCAUGGAGCCUCUCCGCCGCGUGCGUCACCCUUCUCCACCAUACUGCCCUUCCACCUCGCCUUCCUUCUCUUCUCUCACUCGCGGCGGGGACGGAGGUGACUCGAGGCGGCGGCCAGGGUGACUCCACGCGUCGGCUAGCGAAUCCAGGCGGUAGUGGCGGUGAGGCCAUGCGGGCGCCGUCAACCCAAUAUGUUGCCCUGGUCCUGUGGUGGGCGGCCGGGUCAGCGGGUCGGAGCGGGGGCAGUAGGCCGUGGGAAGUCAGCGCCUCCACCCUUCCUCCUCCCCUAGCCCAUUCCCCAAUCAACACAGCCGCCACGCCAAUCCCACCUCCUACCUCCUCCCUCCCGCGUCACCAUAGCCGUCGGUCCCCUCCCUCCAGAUCCAUCUUCUCUCCCUUGUUAGCCGCCGCUGCACGAACCGCGCCAAUCUUUGGGCGCGGCAGGGGCUGAUGGAGUGGCGGAUCCGGGCAUGCUCCCACCCUUAGGUACUCCACGAUGACGGCCAGUUCGGAGGGAGAAGGUAGAAAGCAAUGGCGAGUCCUGCGCCUCUGGGUGGAAGCAGCGGGGUUGGUCGAGCAGGGGAUGUGGUCGGGGUCAGCAGUUGAAGGAGGCUCGCCGGCCGGAGCAGCAGGAGGUGAUUCAGGAGCGCCUCGAGGAGUGGAAGGGAGAGGUCGUGCAGGACAGGCCAACAAGAGCAAUAGAGCAAGGAGGAUAAAAUAUUCGAUCAGCCCUAUAUCUUCUUCUCGAUGCAGCUCCGCAUGAGGAGUCAUGCUAGGUAUCCUGGGGUGAUUCAAGAUGCUUAGGUGUAUCACACUGCAUGGUACACAUGCCAUUUUUGCAGGCUGCUCUGAGAUACACUGAUUUAGAUACAACCACAUGUCUGCAGCAAUUUCUUACUCUUGGUAUAAAGACCAACUCAUGGUGUGGGAAGCAUCUCAUAUGGUUCACCGAAUCAAUUGAUGAAUCUGAAGCGAUUCAAGAGGAGGAGCAAAAACUGGUUAUGCCUAUAGUGAAACGGAAGGCCAUGAACAAUGCGUCUCCGGGAAGUGAAUUUUAUGGUGCCUUGCAUUCUGCUCAUUUGGCGCAAUUGUUCAUCACAAAGUGGAGGGGAGAAGUCUGGCUGCUACUGAUGGGAAAUGGGUGCCUCUCCAGUCAACCGAGCAAUGACAAAUCCAACUGGAAAGGGCUCUGUGGUGAUCUUCAUGUUAUCAGUAAAUGUCCGUGAUUUUCCUUGCUAACAGUUGUUAUCUUUUAAGGCUACAAGUUUAGCCCUGUAUGCAAUACAAAACAUUCAAGCAAAUAAUUUGUGCUUUAUCUUUUGAAACGCGUGUGCAGCAUUUUUUUCUCUUUUAUCCAAGCUACUAUGCAAAAUUGUAUUGUUUUACGGCCAUUUGAUUCACAAGAGUGAGCUUUGUGGGACUAGGAUAGUACAUGCAUGUGCAGUAUUACAGAUACACAGUUAGCUAUCGAAUGAUUCUUAUUUGUAGUUAUCUGAAAUAUUACUUCCUGACUUUAAAUGUACCUUCUUUCUUUAUCUAUGUACAAGCUCAACACAUGGUGUUCCCUUCUUGAUUCCAGCUGGAAAGGAAGCCAUGCGUCGGCGUACGUCAAUGAUUCGGGUGCCUGCGGCAUGACGACAUUGCAGAAGCACGCAUCGUUCUUCGACGGCAAACAAGGAUGCAUUUGUUUUCCAUUCAGUUUCUUUUUGUUCCCUACGCUUUUUCUCAGAGAGAUUUCUCUAAGUGAUUCUCCGUUUGGUGUUCGUUGAUUCUGUCUCACGUACAAUUUAUCCUCCUUGCAUAUCAGCGUUUUGGGCCCUCGGAUUUGGAUUUGCAGCCUCCACAAUGAGUGCCACCUUCAUCAAUGGCGUCCUUGGCCCCCAGAUAAAACCGGUAAUCCUUCGACAACAAAAUCAUACGUCUUUGUCUAUAGGAGUUAUUUUCUCUAUUGGAGUUGAGAAGGAUGACAUAGCGAAGGAGGAUUCCGACAUGGUAGCUCCCACAAUCACGCAGUUGGAGAGCAUGCGCGAGUUCGGUAAACUAUGUAUUCUAUUGGUAUAGCUCUGAAAGGUUAGGAUGCUUUGGGUCGCGGCCUGAACUAUGUAUCUGUGGAUAUUAUUACACUUUCAGCAUGCUAUUUCCUAUUCUUUUGACAUCAGUUUCUGUGAAUUAUGGCUGAACUAUGAUACUUUAGGUUGCAUGCUCAACUAAGUGUAGUGUCAUUACCGCUUUCUCCCCUGAUUGUAUUGUCCUUGCCAUGUUAUCCCCUAAAGGCUUACUCUUGCCAUGUUAUUCCCUAAAUUAUUACUCAUUUCUUCUUUUGCCAGUGCUCCGCUUAUGCAUCAUGUAUUUAGUAGUACCAAAAAACGAGGUAUGCUUCUUUACAUUAAACAGUCUUUCCUUCUCAGUAUAUAUGGAAGUAUAUGGGAUGGCUUCCAUAGAAUACUAGUGUCUGUACUAUAUACUAGAUGAAAAUAAUUUCCUUGCAUGCGAACAUAUGCUAAUUAGUAGCCGCACUACAUUCCUGAAGCUUUUUUUGAACUAUUGGGAAACAUGAGAAAGUUGUUACACAGAAGUAUAUAGUUCUUGUUUCUAUUUCAAACAAAACAAAGGCUAAAAGUUGCUACUUCUGUAGUACUCCUAUAUACAACAAUUAGUGUUCAGCUAGACUGUCAAUCUUACAGCUUGUUGCUAACCGCUACCUCUGUAGGCUUAUGCCAGCGCUGGUGAAAAAGCACCUGCGGUUGGGAAGAAAGCAAAGCUGUAGCUAUCAUGCACCAUCCAUGCAUGCAAUUAGUUUACAAAAACAAUUAGAAAUUGUGAUUCUAAUCAGAUUCAUUGUAUUACUGGAUCUUUUGCAUAUCACAAUCUCCUUGCUGACAUCAGGUGAAGUUGUGGUCCAGGAGAAGAAUGAAGAUUUUAUAGCUCUAGCUUCCCCCUUCAGAUAGUCAUGCUCUCCUCCUGGUUUAACAUCCAGUUGUAGUGUGAUAGCUUUGGCACACUUUCAUGUAAUAUAGAUCUCGCAUAUUUUAUCUGUCUACUUGUUUUAUGAGGAAACAACUCGACUAAUGGUUAAUGAUCGGGUGUUGAGAACAAAAGUAGGUGGAAUGCUCAUUGAUCAUUAACUGUCUUUGCUGUUCUUACCAUAUGGGACUCUGCAAAAAUGCAAAUUUACAAGAGAAAUCCAGUGCAUGUGUUAUGUUUCUAAAUUUUCCCUAAAUUGUUUUUGUAGAAUUGCUUACCUAACCAUCAAUCUAUUUGACUACAAGAAUCUGCACCAUGCUAUUGUUCUUUUAGUCAUACCCAUCUUAUUUAGUUUCUUGGGUUUCUAGCCCUGCUGACUUUCCAGGUGAUUAUUAAGUUAACUAAUACUUUCUUAUGUUCUCCUGUUAGCCAAGCCCAUUUGUUGGGUUCAAUUGUGUGUAUGGAAAAUUUGAUGACUGGGAUAUGAUCUCGUUCCUUUCUCAUGAUGCUAUGUUCUGCCUGUUACAUGACCUCGUGUUAUAAAUCUACUACAUAAGUACCUAGAGAUUCAUUUCUUUCAUUUUGGUGCCUACAUUUGAUCAUAGGAAACUAAAAAUACUCUACUUCUCAUGCAAGAUUGUAUCCUAUGUGAACUAUGGAGUCAUUCUGGAGGUAUCGUUCUAGGAUAUUUAUCUUUGUUGUUCUUAGAUGAACCAUCCAUUAAAUGGUUAUCAUAUUUGUGCGGGAACUGGAUAAAGAAUGUACCUUUCACUUUCUUAUACUAUGUUGGUUGGCGCUGCCAGUUUGAUUUUCCUUUAAACGAUAAACAAGACAGAA